ACAGCCAUGCCAUGCUGAAUAUACCGGUUCUCGUUAGAUCACCGAACAGUCAAGCAUCAUUGUUGGCGCGGUCAGUACUUUCCAGGGUGGGUGACCACCUGGGAGCC